rnacentral:rRNA from 1 species
AGCCAUGCAUGUCUAAGUAUAAGCAACUAUACGGUGAAACUGCGAAUGGCUCAUUAAAUCAGUUAUCGUUUAUUUGAUAGUACCUUACUACAUGGAUAACCGUGGUAAUUCUAGAGCUAAUACAUGCUAAAAACCUCGACUUCGGAAGGGGUGUAUUUAUUAGAUAAAAAACCAAUGCCCUUCGGGGCUCCUUGGUGAAUCAUAAUAACUUAACGAAUCGCAUGGCCUUGCGCCGGCGAUGGUUCAUUCAAAUUUCUGCCCUAUCAACUUUCGAUGGUAGGAUAGUGGCCUACCAUGGUAUCAACGGGUAACGGGGAAUUAGGGUUCGACUCCGGAGAGGGAGCCUGAGAAACGGCUACCACAUCCAAGGAAGGCAGCAGGCGCGCAAAUUACCCAAUCCCGACACGGGGAGGUAGUGACAAUAAAUACUGAUACAGGGCUCUUUUGGGUCUUGUAAUUGGAAUGAGUACAAUUUAAAUCCCUUAACGAGGAACAAUUGGAGGGCAAGUCUGGUGCCAGCAGCCGCGGUAAUUCCAGCUCCAAUAGCGUAUAUUAAAGUUGUUGCAGUUAAAAAGCUCGUAGUUGAACCUUGGGCCUGGCUGGCCGGUCCGCCUCACCGCGUGUACUGGUCCGGCCGGGCCUUUCCUUCUGGGGAACCUCAUGCCCUUCACUGGGCGUGUUGGGGAACCAGGACUUUUACUUUGAAAAAAUUAGAGUGUUCAAAGCAGGCCUUUGCUCGAAUACAUUAGCAUGGAAUAAUAGAAUAGGACGUGUGGUUCUAUUUUGUUGGUUUCUAGGACCGCCGUAAUGAUUAAUAGGGAUAGUCGGGGGCAUCAGUAUUCAAUCGUCAGAGGUGAAAUUCUUGGAUUGAUUGAAGACUAACUACUGCGAAAGCAUUUGCCAAGGAUGUUUUCAUUAAUCAGUGAACGAAAGUUAGGGGAUCGAAGACGAUCAGAUACCGUCGUAGUCUUAACCAUAAACUAUGCCGACUAGGGAUCGGACGGUGUUAGUAUUUUGACCCGUUCGGCACCUUACGAGAAAUCAAAGUUUUUGGGUUCUGGGGGGAGUAUGGUCGCAAGGCUGAAACUUAAAGAAA